UAGCAGCUGAUGUGGUGAAGUGGGAUGGAGGUAGGGGUAGGAUAGGGAGGGAUCAUUCCAGGCAGAGCAAACAGUGUGUGUGAAGAUCCAGAGUGAGAGGCACUGAGAGAAGGCCAGUGAUGCAAGGUGAGGCUGGGAGCUGGGCAGUGGUCAGACUGGGAGGGACUUGAUGGGCUAAGUUCAUGACUUGGUCUUCAUCCAAGAGCAGUGAGGAGCUAUUGAAAAGUUUUCAGGAGUGCAUUUGACAUAAUCGGAUUUGAAUUCUGUAAAGCUAACUUUGGCUAUACCAUGGAGAAGAGUUUUAAGUUGGUGGAGGUGAAUGUGGGAAGCGCAGUUAGGAUCUUGCAGUAGUCAUGGACAGUAAUGAGAGUAUCUUGGGCAAUGGUGGAGCUGAAGAGGGGUGUGUGGCUUCAAGACAAUUAAAUGCUUAGACAAUUAAAAUCACCAGGACUUGGUGAUGGAUGGAACAUGGGAUGAGGGACAGAGACAUUAGGAUAAGUCCUGGGUUCCUGGCUUUCAGACCUGACUGAAUAGUGGUACCAUUCCCGAAAGGUAGCAGAUGCUGGAAGAGGUCAGUUUUGGUGUAGAGAUUAUGAGUUCAGUUUUGGACAUGCUGAGUUCAAGGUGUCUUUGGAGGAACUGAGUGACAUAGUCAAGUUGGCCACAGGAUUCACAGGUCUGGAGCUGAGAGGAGAGGUCUGGGCUGCAUAUAGAAGUGUGGGCCUCACUGGGUUAUGGGGGAAUCAGAGCCAUGAGUGUGGAGUAGAUUGACCCAGGAAAGUGGGUGGCCUGGAGUGAGAAAGGAAAUGAGGCUAGGCCUAGCCUUGAGGCCCUCCAACAUCUACGCAUGGGUCAGGGAGGAUGCAACUACCAAAGAGAGUGAGAACAAAGGAGAGGUGGGAGGAAGAAGAGACUGCAUCAAGGACUGGUCGGGUAACGUGUCAAAAGAAUUUAGGAAGAACUCAACAAAUAUUUGGUGAAUGAAUAAACCUUGCCUCAGAUGACGUAGCCAGGAAAUGAUAAACCUAGGACUGAAACCCUGGUCAUCUUCAGGUGUCUGCUCUUCCCCUCAAACCAUGCUGACUUUAAUGACCAAAACCUUACAUCCAAAGAGGGAACUCUUCUUAGAAAAGGUGGAAAUUGAACUGGGGUGUCGAAAGAAGGCUCGGAUUUGCAGAGAGGAGUUGGUAUUCCAGUUGGAUUCAGUGGCACUGCUUAAGACUUGAAGCUGGAGGUGAGGAAAGCUUGCUCAGGGAGCAGCAGAAAGGAGGCCUGGCUGACCCUGCACCUUUGCUUUUGUUUCCUGUCCUUGCUCACCUUCAAUUUCUAAAGUUGGCUCUUCCCCUCUCCCAUGACUGCUCCUUCCCAUCUGUCACCUCACACAGGUUUUCACUACGCCAGAUCAACUGCCUGCAAUCCUUGACUGCCCCAUCCGCUCAUGGGUCUCUAAACUCAUGUCCUGCUUUAUCUUUUGCUUCCCUUUUAACCUCCUUUUUUAACAUUGGCUCCUUCUGAAGCUGCAAUAUUCAUUCAUUAAUCAUUCUUUCAUUCAUUCAACAAAUGAUUAUUGAGUGCCUGAUUUGUGCCAGGCACUUUUCUAGGUUCUGGGCAUACAUUAGUGAACAAACCUGACUAAGUUCUCUGCCUUCAAGUAGCUUACAUCCUAGCAAGGAGAAAUAGAUAAUAAAAUAAGUAAAUUAUGUAGCAUGUUAGAAGGAAAAACUGAUGUGAGAAAAAAUGCACAGCAGGCUAAGGGAGGAUUGAGAGUGUGGGGCUGGAGGUCAGAGUGUAGGUUUCAGUCCCGAAUUGUUACCAGAUCUGACAAUCUUUUUCCAGUUCACCUUGUUCCACUGCUUUUGCCACUUCCCUGCCAUCUUCCCCAGACUGAGGCCAGGCUCCACCCCCACAGCCUCAUCUGCGCAUUCAGCACUAAUCCCUCCCACACUAAUGAACUUUGAGAUCCCAUUGCCUGAAUGGCAUACGCCUUUGACUGGCAUUUGAGGCCAUUUGCAGUCUGACCUGGCCCAUCCACUCCUACCUGUGUUGUCAUCCUUCUGUGGACUCCUGUGUUACUGGGUUUUACCAGUUUGGGUGCAUGUGGCCAUGCUGACUUGAGGAGGACUUGCUCAUGCUUUUGGAAUUUCUUCAGCAGGUAAGCCCAGCCCUGUGUUUGGAUUGGGACAUAGAGAUCAGUUAAACUUGGUCUCUGUCCUUGAGAUGGCCAUAGUGCAGUAUGGAAAAAGGUUUCCAGCAGUUACAAGAUAUUGUGGUUAGAGUUGUCUCAGAGUUGUCCUCUAUCCUACAGCAGGGAAGGCUUUCCAGGAGGGAUCUGGGUGGAGCCCUGAAGGAGUUUCUCAGACAGUCAGCAGGGGGAAGGGCGCUCCAGACAGAGGCUUUUCCCUCAGUUAUAGUCUGUGUCUCUUGAGGGCAUCCUCUUCUCUUGCUUUGUAUUUCCCAUCUGCCUACCAGGCCGUUUGCCAAGAUUAGAUGUUAAUAAGUGCUACAUAAAUCAUUUGAAGCUCAGGGAGAAGUACUAUAUGAGGCUUGACGGCUCAGAUGAGGCCAGUUUUUGGAGUACUUGCAUGCUUGGGAGAGGAGAUUGGCCUUGACUCAGCUGGAGGUAAGAUGCACAAGGCCAAGAUGGGGGAAGACUUCAAGGAAAACAUUUGUCCUCUGUUUUGACCUCUGCCCACAGAGAGUCCAUGUGGUCUGCUCCUGGUGGGAGCUCAGAGGUACUGCAAGGGGCAGAAGGUCCAGGAGGGGACCACAGAGGCAUGUGCCUUUUGUGCUGGCAUUGUGCGAAGACACAGUAGAUCGCACAGCCAGCUCAUGAGUAGAGCAGGGACUAGAACCCAUGCCUCUGCCACGCCAUGUGCUCUUUUCUUGCUUCUCUUCUGAGUGUAAGCAAAAGUGAGCUGCACAAGUGGAAAUGUUUAAAAGCAGUUAAAGAUGGAGGAGGCCAUUGUGUUAUAAAGGAAAGUUGAUUGAUCUAAGAGCCAGGAAUCUUGGGUUCCUUGGCCCUUGAGCACAUUAUAGAAAGUCUUGAAUAGAACUAGGAUUUUCUAAGCUUCUAGUUAUAUAUAUAUAACUAGGAAUAUAAAUUAAUAUAAACAUAAGCUUCAGUUUUCUUAUCUGAAAAAAGGUAAUAAUCUAUUGUGAGAUUGUUGUGGAGGCACAAAUGAGAUGUAAUGACUUAGCACAGUCUGAUACAAAAUAAACACUCCCCAAAUGGAGAUAUAUGUAUAUAUAUUUUAUUUUUUU